CGGUUGUUCACUGACGAUAUUACAUUAAUUCAAAAUGAAGAUUACCUUUGCAUUCGUCAUUUUGAUUGUAUUCAUGUUGGCUGUUGGAAUCGAGUGCAGCAACCCGCAUUUUAAAGCAUGUCAAAGACUUGACGCGCAAAAAUGCAAUUGUAAUUGCGUUUGCAGAGCGAAAAAACGAAAGCAUUCACCAAAGGGGCCCCAACAUUUGGAAAAUACUGGCCCAACAGCUAAAACGAUUACAGACACUUACUGGGGUAAAUAAGUGUCAACAAAACCAAAAGAAAAAAAAAACAAAAAAACAAAUAAGUCAACUGGAAACUGAAUUACUAAACCGAAGAAGAAUCAAGAAUAUGCGACAUUUACUUUAAUUAUUAACCAAUUCAUUAUGUAUGCUUUUAAAAUGUGCUCUUUUAUCAACCAGCCAUUUCCAGGGAACUCAAUUCAUUUCUGAAUAAAAACACACUAUUGAGCGCAAA